rnacentral:rRNA from 1 species
ACGAACGCUGGCGGCGUGCUUAACACAUGCAAGUCGAACGGAAAGGCCCUGCUUUUGUGGGGUGCUCGAGUGGCGAACGGGUGAGUAACACGUGAGUAACCUGCCCUUGACUUUGGGAUAACUUCAGGAAACUGGGGCUAAUACCGGAUAGGAGCUCCUGCUGCAUGGUGGGGGUUGGAAAGUUUCGGCGGCUGGGGAUGGACUCGCGGCUUAUCAGCUUGUUGGUGGGGUAGUGGCUUACCAAGGCUUUGACGGGUAGCCGGCCUGAGAGGGUGACCGGCCACAUUGGGACUGAGAUACGGCCCAGACUCCUACGGGAGGCAGCAGUGGGGAAUAUUGCACGAUGGGCGGAAGCCUGAUGCAGCAACGCCGCGUGCGGGAUGACGGCCUUCGGGUUGUAAACCGCUUUCGCCUGUGACGAAGCGUGAGUGACGGUAAUGGGUAAAGAAGCACCGGCUAACUACGUG